ACCACUCCACUGGCCUAGUGGUUAAAGCAUCUGACUCGGAUGCGGGAAGUCGUGGGUUUGAUCCCCAGUCAAGUGAUA